rnacentral:rRNA from 1 species
CCUACGGGAGGCAGCAGUGGGGAAUAUUGCACAAUGGGGGGAACCCUGAUGCAGCGACGCCGCGUGAGUGAAGAAGUAUUUCGGUACGUAAAGCUCUAUCAGCAGGGAAGAAAAAAGGACGGUACCUGAGUAAGAAGCCCCGGCUAACUCCGUGCCAGCAGCCGCGGUAAUACGGAGGAUGCGAGCGUUAUCCGGCUUUAUGGGGUUUAAAGGGUGCGUAGGCGGAUCGUUAAGUCAGUGGUCAAAUUGAGGGGCGAAACCCCGUCCCGCCAUUGAAACUGGCGUUCUUGAGUGGAAGAGAAGUAUGCGGAAUGCGUGGUGUAGCGGUGAAAUGCAUAGAUAUCACGCAGAACCCCGAUUGCGAAGGCAGCAUGCCGGCUUCCGACUGACGCUGAAGCACGAAAGCGUGGGGAUCGAACAGGAUUAGAUACCCCUGUAGUC